UAGAUACUCAUUGACAACAAAGCAAAUGAAGCACCAAAUUAUCACGGGCUCACUGCUCACGAAAAAAAACAUUCAUGGGCUCCAGAGAAAAGGAAAAGGCAUUUCGACCAAAUUAAGAAAGAGGCCGAACUACGACCGGAGCCCGCGAGAACGAUGCAUUUGGGCCAAACACUUGGCCCCCCGCUCGCCGACGGCAGUCGCCGCCGCCAAGGAACUGCCUCGGCCAUGGCCCCGGAUCUGGGGCUCAGUCCGGGCGGAAUCUCUCCCCCGGCGAGGCGGUGCAGGAGCGAGAGUUGAGCCGUGCAGGUGCAGCAUCCUCCGUCCGCUCGCAGCUCUGCCGAAGAAUCUGAUUCAUGAACCAUGUGCCCUUGGGUUGGGUUGGGGUAAGAAGAAAUUGCUUUGGAUGCACGGUCAUUGGAAGACAAUUUUUUUCCGUGCCUUGUGCUAUAUGAUUGCAGAAUCCGAUUCAUGAACCAAAUGUGGGAUUCAAACUAGCUCAGCAUGCUGUGGGAUACAUGAUUUAGUUAAGCAAAGUUAACCAAAUGUGAAUAUUCCUUCGCAUGUUCCUAACCAUGAGUCUGCUGCAUACCGAUGUUGUUUAUAGCAAAAGGAGGUUAGUUCCUUUCUUGCAUAGUGUAUAGGAAAGCAACUCCUUUGUCACCUUCAUGAAUAGAACAACAGACCAAGCAAGGAACGCAACAUACCUGCGGAUGUAGCACGCAGGGCCAGUGAUGUGCCGCUCAAUGAAAAACAAAGACCAGCGGAGCGUACAGAUGGAAGGUUUCCGGUACCCAAAGACGUGGUGAUGUUACCCGGAGGGAGAGUGGGGAUAUAGAAGUACAUACCGAGAUGCUCAGACCGGACAAACAAUGUUGGACAUGUUGUAUUCUUGAUAAAGCCAUACUGGUUUAUGUGAAAUUAUGUUUUUCGAAAAUGGAAGCUUUUAUUGUGUUAAGAU